rnacentral:rRNA from 1 species
GGGUUGUGAGGUUAAGCGACUAAGCGUACACGGUGGAUGCCCUGGCAGUCAGAGGCGAUGAAGGACGUGCUAAUCUGCGAUAAGCGUCGGUAAGGUGAUAUGAACCGUUAUAACCGGCGAUUUCCGAAUGGGGAAACCCAGUGUGAUUCGUCACACUAUCAUUAACUGAAUCCAUAGGUUAAUGAGGCGAACCGGGGGAACUGAAACAUCUAAGUACCCCGAGGAAAAGAAAUCAACCGAGAUUCCCCCAGUAGCGGCGAGCGAACGGGGAGGAGCCCAGAGCCUGAAUCAGUGUGUGUGUUAGUGGAAGCGUCUGGAAAGGCGUGCGAUACAGGGUGACAGCCCCGUACACAAAAAUGCACAUACUGUGAGCUCGAUGAGUAGGGCGGGACACGUGGUAUCCUGUCUGAAUAUGGGGGGACCAUCCUCCAAGGCUAAAUACUCCUGACUGACCGAUAGUGAACCAGUACCGUGAGGGAAAGGCGAAAAGAACCCCGGCGAGGGGAGUGAAAAAGAACCUGAAACCGUGUACGUACAAGCAGUGGGAGCCUCUUAAUGGGGUGACUGCGUACCUUUUGUAUAAUGGGUCAGCGACUUAUAUUCUGUAGCAAGGUUAACCGAAUAGGGGAGCCGAAGGGAAACCGAGUCUUAACUGGGCGUUAAGUUGCAGGGUAUAGACCCGAAACCCGGUGAUCUAGCCAUGGGCAGGUUGAAGGUUGGGUAACACUAACUGGAGGACCGAACCGACUAAUGUUGAAAAAUUAGCGGAUGACUUGUGGCUGGGGGUGAAAGGCCAAUCAAACCGGGAGAUAGCUGGUUCUCCCCGAAAGCUAUUUAGGUAGCGCCUCGUGAAUUCAUCUCCGGGGGUAGAGCACUGUUUCGGCAAGGGGGUCAUCCCGACUUACCAACCCGAUGCAAACUGCGAAUACCGGAGAAUGUUAUCACGGGAGACACACGGCGGGUGCUAACGUCCGUCGUGAAGAGGGAAACAACCCAGACCGCCAGCUAAGGUCCCAAAGUCAUGGUUAAGUGGGAAACGAUGUGGGAAGGCCCAGACAGCCAGGAUGUUGGCUUAGAAGCAGCCAUCAUUUAAAGAAAGCGUAAUAGCUCACUGGUCGAGUCGGCCUGCGCGGAAGAUGUAACGGGGCUAAACCAUGCACCGAAGCUGCGGCAGCGACACUAUGUGUUGUUGGGUAGGGGAGCGUUCUGUAAGCCUGUGAAGGUGUACUGUGAGGUAUGCUGGAGGUAUCAGAAGUGCGAAUGCUGACAUAAGUAACGAUAAAGCGGGUGAAAAGCCCGCUCGCCGGAAGACCAAGGGUUCCUGUCCAACGUUAAUCGGGGCAGGGUGAGUCGACCCCUAAGGCGAGGCCGAAAGGCGUAGUCGAUGGGAAACAGGUUAAUAUUCCUGUACUUGGUGUUACUGCGAAGGGGGGACGGAGAAGGCUAUGUUGGCCGGGCGACGGUUGUCCCGGUUUAAGCGUGUAGGCUGGUUUUCCAGGCAAAUCCGGAAAAUCAAGGCUGAGGCGUGAUGACGAGGCACUACGGUGCUGAAGCAACAAAUGCCCUGCUUCCAGGAAAAGCCUCUAAGCAUCAGGUAACAUCAAAUCGUACCCCAAACCGACACAGGUGGUCAGGUAGAGAAUACCAAGGCGCUUGAGAGAACUCGGGUGAAGGAACUAGGCAAAAUGGUGCCGUAACUUCGGGAGAAGGCACGCUGAUAUGUAGGUGAAGUCCCUCGCGGAUGGAGCUGAAAUCAGUCGAAGAUACCAGCUGGCUGCAACUGUUUAUUAAAAACACAGCACUGUGCAAACACGAAAGUGGACGUAUACGGUGUGACGCCUGCCCGGUGCCGGAAGGUUAAUUGAUGGGGUUAGCGGUAACGCGAAGCUCUUGAUCGAAGCCCCGGUAAACGGCGGCCGUAACUAUAACGGUCCUAAGGUAGCGAAAUUCCUUGUCGGGUAAGUUCCGACCUGCACGAAUGGCGUAAUGAUGGCCAGGCUGUCUCCACCCGAGACUCAGUGAAAUUGAACUCACUGUGAAGAUGCAGUGUACCCGCGGCAAGACGGAAAGACCCCGUGAACCUUUACUAUAGCUUGACACUGAACAUUGAGCCUUGAUGUGUAGGAUAGGUGGGAGGCUUUGAAGUGUGGACGCCAGUCUGCAUGGAGCCGGCCUUGAAAUACCACCCUUUAAUGUUUGAUGUUCUAACGUUGGCCCCUGACCGGGGUUGCGGACAGUGUCUGGUGGGUAGUUUGACUGGGGCGGUCUCCUCCUAAAGAGUAACGGAGGAGCACGAAGGUUGGCUAAUCCUGGUCGGACAUCAGGAGGUUAGUGCAAUGGCAUAAGCCAGCUUGACUGCGAGCGUGACGGCGCGAGCAGGUGCGAAAGCAGGUCAUAGUGAUCCGGUGGUUCUGAAUGGAAGGGCCAUCGCUCAACGGAUAAAAGGUACUCCGGGGAUAACAGGCUGAUACCGCCCAAGAGUUCAUAUCGACGGCGGUGUUUGGCACCUCGAUGUCGGCUCAUCACAUCCUGGGGCUGAAGUAGGUCCCAAGGGUAUGGCUGUUCGCCAUUUAAAGUGGUACGCGAGCUGGGUUUAGAACGUCGUGAGACAGUUCGGUCCCUAUCUGCCGUGGGCGCUGGAGAACUGAGGGGGGCUGCUCCUAGUACGAGAGGACCGGAGUGGACGCAUCACUGGUGUUCGGGUUGUCAUGCCAAUGGCACUGCCCGGUAGCUAAAUGCGGAAGAGAUAAGUGCUGAAAGCAUCUAAGCACGAAACUUGCCCCGAGAUGAGUUCUCCCUGACUCCUUGAGAGUCCUGAAGGAACGUUGAAGACGACGACGUUGAUAGGCCGGGUGUGUAAGCGCAGCGAUGCGUUGAGCUAACCGGUACUAAUGAACCGUGAGGCUUAACCUUACAACGCCGAAG